UGGAACAAAAUACCUUUUGUUUUCAUCCAAAACAAAUAAAAGAUUGUACAACCAAAGCUAAGCUCAUAAGAAAAAUUUAAGACAAUAUUGAAACAGCUACCGCCAUACUUUGCAUGUGCUUUCAUGUGACAAUACAUAAGAAAAUUUAUACAAAGACCAAUUAAAAUUAUUGUGAUUUGAGUCAACUAUGCAGCAAAGGGCAGUGAACUGAACCAAAACAUCUCUCAAUUGUGUACUAUGCACAAGAACAAAUUAUGAUAAAAAGAUAGUAGAAAACCACAACAAGUCCUCUUAAUAAAAUGAGAAGAAAAAAUGUGCAGUUGAAUCUUAGAGCUAACCAAACGACAACAUCACUUAUUAAAUUUAGAAAAGUGAAAAAUCAUGUGGAUCCAGAGCAUCUUGUCUACAAAGCUCCAAAAAGUAAUCCUUUUGUCAAAAGCAUGCCUACAAUACAACCAAACCACAUAUAUUAUUCAUUAAUGAAUUCCAAGAAGAUAAUAACAAUUCAAAGACAACCAAACAUUUCAAUCCCACCUCACUUUCAUUCCAGCAAAGCCAUGACAUCACUCCAAUACCCAAAAAGUCUUCAUUCUCUGCUAUAUAAAAUAAAACAGGUAUACUGUGUAAAAUAACAUUUCAAAACAGAGUGACUCACAUGAUGAAGAAAUCAGAAGUAGUGUUUAUACCUUUUCCAGGUCCGACUCAUCUAAUUUCCACCCUCGAAUUCGCCAAGCUUUUAAUCAACCGUGAUAACCGUCUACGAAUAACUGUCUUAGUAUUCAAAUUCCCACACACACCAGAUACUGAUAUCCAC
rnacentral:lncRNA from 1 species